UACGAAGGGUGCUAGCGUUGUUCGGAAUCACUGGGCGUAAAGCGUGCGUAGGCUGCUUAUCAAGUCAGAGGUGAAAUCCUUGGGCUCAACCCAAGAACUGCCUUUGAAACUGUUAGGCUGGAGUGUCGGAGGGGGAUAGGGGAAUUUCUAAUGUAGUGGUGAAAUACGUAGAUAUUAGAAGGAACACCGGUGGCGAAGGCGCCUAUCUGGACGACAACUGACGCUGAGGCACGAAAGCGUGGGGGAUCAAACAGG
rnacentral:rRNA from 1 species